AUUAAAUAAGAUGCCACCGAUAAGUCGGAGAAAGCCAACCACCUUCAUCUUCAUUCUUCCAUCUUCUUCUUCUUCACUAAUAAAACCAGUUAGGGUUCUUCACUUCCAUUGCUUCGCUUAAAUUUGUAACCAGAUGAUUGCUAUUGCUAUAAAUAAAUAAAUAAUUAUCAAGAAAAUCGCCAGCCAAAGUGGAAUACUUUCUUCCUCAAGUCUUCGAUCCACCAAUCAAGUCCGUCGAUGGCCGUCGCCUCUUAUCGUCCCGACACCACCAAAAUUUGCACUCACUGUUCUUAGAGGGAUUUCUGACGGGUUAGCUAGAGGAAAGAAACCUGAUGAAAUGGAGAAAUUGGUAAUUGAUCUAUUGAAGGCUCAUUUGAGACAUCCAUAGGCAUCAGAGGUUAACAACAAAGAUAUCAUAUCUCAUUUUGUUUUGCGUCUCGUGUAUUGUCGAUCGUAAUCUUUUGAACUUUUUGCCGUUUAUUUAUUUAUUUUUUAUUUUCUGCUUUGAUGUCUUAUGUAGAUUUGAACUGAUUGUGUUGAUGACUUCAAAUUCAUUAUUGUUUAUGUGGCUUUUGGUAUUGGAUGCUCUUUGUGUAUUCUAGCAAGUUCGUUUUUACUUAUGCAAGCUGGGCUAGGGAGUUGCGUGAUCGGGAAAUGGAUCUUAAAACUCAAAUAUUCGCUCUUGUGGACAACAACAAAGAGAUGAGCAAAGCCGAGACCGAGGCGGGAGAAGAGGGCCCCACCGUAACUGAAGCGGACAUUCAGCACAUUGUCUCAUCAUGGACUGGCAUACCGGUCGAAAAAGUCUCAACAGACAAAUCGGACCGUCUUCUCAAAAUGGAAGAAACACUCCACACACGUAUCAUCAGUCAAGACGAAGCACUUAAAGCCAUUAGCCGUGCCAUCCGCCGUGCUCGUGUAGGACUCAAAAACCCAGACCGCCCCAUCGCCAAUUUCAUGUUUUCGGCACCCACUGGUGUUUGUUGCUGUCGAGAUUCCAUUUACUCCCCGUGCCAAACGUGUACUGGAACUCUCGCUAGAGGAGGCCCGACAACUUGGUCACAAUUAUAUUGGAUCCGAGCAUUUGCUUCUUGGUUUGCUUACAGAGGGUGAAGGUGUAACGGCCCGUGUUCUUGAAAAUUUGGGUGCAGACCCAAAUAACAUUCGCACACAGGCAAGC